rnacentral:rRNA from 1 species
UACAGAGGGUGCGAGCGUUGUUCGGAAUUAUUGGGCGUAAAGCGCAUGUAGGCGGGAUGUUAAGUCGCGUGUGAAAGCCCCAGGCUCAACCUGGGAAGUGCGCGCGAAACUGGCAACCUUGAGUGCUGGAGAGGGUGGCGGGAUUCCCGGUGUAGAGGUGAAAUUCGUAGAUAUCGGGAGGAACACCAGAGGCGAAGGCGGCCACCUGGACAGACACUGACGCUGAGACGCGAAAGCGUGGGGAGCAAACAGG